rnacentral:lncRNA from 1 species
AUCAGGUCCACCCUAGCAAUGUCUGAAUAUAACCCAAGUCUCUGUAAGGAGCAGUGGGAUGGAAACCUGUGGUUUCUUAGGCAGUUCCCUUAGGCAUCAUGCACACUGACAAUCACAAAUCACGCAUGGCAGUUCUAGUGUGUUCUUCCCAGUAGGACAGAGGUGGAGUCCUCAGGCGGAAGUGGUGGAUAGGCUGGAUCAGUGGAUCUGGCCAUGAUGUCAGGCACCUAAGGUCGUGCCUGGGGCUCCACAGAGCUGCCUUCUCCACUUCUGCAUCCCUUGCAAGCCUGCAUUCACCUGUUUGCUUCUUGGAAGGAUGCGUUGCCCAUCUCCUGACUGUGGUUCCUUGUGUCCCACGACCAACCAUCACCUUCACUUCAGGCUGCUGAGGACCACAGGAGAAAACUUCCAGAAGACCUUCAGGUCUCCAUAUUCGUGCUCUUCCCGUGCGCCCCGUUGGCUCCCCGCUCCAGCCUUUCCCGGGACCUCCCGCAUCCAGCGGUUGUUGGGCUGCCUCCCACCCAGCCGGGCCUGCUGAAGGAGGGGCCUCUCCUCAGCCACUCUGCCAGCUUUUCCCUCCAGCUGUCUUCUCCUCUGUUGGAACCCCCCUUAACCCCAUAUCCAUCUCCUGUGGUCACCCCGCCUCUUUUCUCUCAGGGUCUUGCUUCUGGAAAGCCUUUGCAUUCAUUUUCUUCUUGCUUCUCACUUAACUCUUUGACGCAUUGCAAUCUGACAUCCACCCCAUAGCUCUAGGGAGCCGCUCCGCCUGAAUGCUAAAGGCAGUGGAUACUCUUGCCGCCCUCAAUUUUUCACCGAUCUCUGGCAUUUGACUUGGUUGGUCAUUUCCUUUGCAGAGAGCAUUCCUCUCGGCUUGGAUGAUAGCACUGUCCCAGCACCAGUCCCUCCUCCUAGAGUACCUUCGCCCCUUUCUCCAGGCUGACUCCUCCUUUGCAAGCCCUAUCCUGCAACCCUGAUUGUCGCUGAGCUAGGGUCGCCCUAUGAUGGACCUGUGGGUGUGGAGGUCCUGUGGGUGUGGAGCCCACACACACACAGCUCCCAAGCUCUGACUCCAGCAGUCUCCUCACCCCAGCCAGUCUUCUCUCUGUUAUUCCCAAUCUGCACAGCCCUACCCAGCCCACAGAUGUUCAUGGCCCACUGCCACCCCUCCACCCUAACCUGUGCCAUGGUUUUUUCCCCUUAUUGUUUAAGGGAAGAACAGAUUUGUAAGUAUCCCAAAAAGGCUUAUUUCCUAAAGGACAAAGGUUUAUUUUUUUGUUUCACAGAGGUGGAAUUUUCAAAAGAUAACGUUUACAAUAGUUUACAAAAUAUCAAAUAGUCAAUUCUCAGUAGUUGUAAUAGUUAUUUCUAUAAAAUUGCCACACACUCUGAAAGAGCUAAUACUGAACCACUGCUUCUAGGAGAAAUACAAGUUUAGAUUGCUGCAAGCCUGUGGUCACAACAUUUUCA